rnacentral:rRNA from 1 species
CCUACGUGGUGCAGCAGUGAGGAAUAUUGGUCAAUGGGCGCGAGCCUGAACCAGCCAAGUCGCGUGAGGGAAGACGGUCCUAUGGAUUGUAAACCUCUGUUGUCGGGGAGCAAAAGACGCCACGCGUGGCGUUCCGAGAGUACCCGAAGAAAAAGCAUAGGCUAACUCCGUGACAGCAGCCGCGGUAAUACGGAGGAUGCGAGCGUUAUCCGGAUUUAUUGGGUUUAAAGGGUGCGCAGGCGGAAGAUCAAGGCAGCGGUAAAAUUGAGAGGCUCAACCUCUUCGAGCCGUUGAAACUGGUUUUCUUGAGUGAGCGAGAAGUAUGCGGAAGGCGUGGUGUAGCGGUGAAAUGCAUAGAUAGCACGCAGAACUCCGAUUGCGAAGGCAGCAUACCGGCGCUCAACUGACGCUCAUGCACGAAAGUGUGGGUAUCGAACAGGAUUAGAUACCCGGGUAGUC